rnacentral:lncRNA from 1 species
GGCUUUAUAUGAGAACGGAUCAAGCGUUCGAGAAUUGGAACAGGGAAAUGUGAGACGUACUUUCAUGUAUAUAUGUCUAAUAUUAUUUUUUCGUCUUGUAUUUUCCUUAAUUUUUCUCUAGGAAACACUGGAACAACACUGCUUAAAUUGAAGCACAGUGUGCGAAUGACCUGCUACGCUCGGAACUGUUAUCACCAUUCGGGAAGAAAUCAGGUAAGAAUGGAUUGUGUGUGGCACAUCUCCGCAUGUGGACUAGAGUAGAUCUAGGAACAUCAGACAAGAAGUCACGUAUGUGAAACCCUGCGGAUAGCCCAUAUGUGAACUUUUUUUCCAGAUACGGAGGAACGGACACCGGUCAUGCCGUGCGCACUCUUCUGCAGGGCAUAAUGAAGCUGCACUGCAGUUCAGCUGGAAAGGGUGGCCAGGGAGGAAGCAUGCCUUCGUGAAGCUCACGGCCAUCACGAAUCUCAUUCGAACAUCUGUGAGGAGCACCUUCGCAGACGCUUCACUGGCAUCAGUGGCUGGAGUCACGAAACGCUGGUUAGUCGGAGCAGCUGCAUGACAGGGAUGGAGGCCGGAACGAGAGAAGG